AAUGGUGCCGCCCCGGUCUCUCCGUCCCGCCCCGAGCACGCCCCUCACUCCGCACCGACCAAUGGCACCGCCCCGUCUGCCCCGCUCUGGGAACGCCGCUCCAGCAGAUGUGACACAGACUGGAAGUGAUGGACCCAGACAACAAUCAGAACCAAAGCACCAGAUGAGCCACCUCAGCCACGUGAGCCACUCCAGCCACCCUACCUGUGACCCCACCUGUGGCCCCAGUCAUCAUGGAGUAGAGAAAGAAAGAGCAAGAGCAGGCAGGAGGGCAAGACGACAGCAAGAGAACAAGAAAGAAAUCUGAAGAAAAGAAGUUUUGGUGAAGAUGGAAAGGCUUGAAACAUACCAUGGAGAAUGACCUCAGCCUUCUGUGCGGAGGAUUUGUGCUCGAAGAUAAGGAAAGAGAGGGAAUUUGGAGAGUUGAGCAGUUCAGUUUCCUUUGCAUUUCUUACAUCUGAGCAGGUGACCGGAGUGAACACUCUGGAAGCCACAGUGGAGUCCUCUGCUUAGGGCCUUUUUCUGGAAACCAGAUAAAUUCACUGAAAAACAAUUUGCGAAUGGCAAGUUCAUUGAGAAGCAAGUGACCAAAACUCCAAGUCAUGGAAUGACCUGCUCAUUGAUUUAUUGAAGAUUUUUUUCCAAGGUCUACUUCCCUCUGCAUUUGUGGCUGCCAUUUCAUAUGUGAAUGGGUGGGCAGUUUGCUGUCAUGCCCUUUUUGUGCAUCUCUAUCCUGACCCUGUAUGUGGUGCUGCCUUUUCCCAGGCCCCCUGCCCCUGACCUGGCCUCUGUCUGCAAAGCAGCUGCAGCAACCUCCCUCUUGCUGUUGAAGAUACUCAUCUGAUGUCUAUUGUGAAUUGGCUGGAGCCCUUCUACAGGUUUAUCAGAGUCCCUCUGCAUCCAGGCCGAUGGUGCCUGCCGUGCUUCUACAUACUGUUCUCUGCCACCCACCUGAGCCCAGCUAGAGUCAGUGGAGAAAUGGAGGAACCACAUCAAAACAGUGUGGCCACCCCAGUCACCCUCCAGUGUGCAUUGACGACCAGGCAGCCAUUAGACCCAAAUGCAGCCCCACAGCGUAGAAGCUAAUGGAAAGGCCACACAUCCUCUUUCCAUUCUCCUUCCAUGUGAGGCCCUGCAGAGCCUGGCAUCUGUCUUUAUCAUCGUGGCACCCUCAGACUCUUUCUUCUUCCUGGAGCAAGCUGUGCUCUCUGAAGCCACUGCCUGUGUGGGAAGUGCCCCAGCCUUUCUUCGCUGUUGCCAGGCAUCCCUUCCUGUCCUACCACUUCAAAUGUAUCUUUUCAUGUGUCCUUCCUGAGCACCUCUAGCAGCUGCCUGUUCCUGUUUCAGCCUCUGCCUUUCCACAGCUCGUCCAAGAUUCCUCUAUUGCAGAGCAUAGCACCACCUUGUAGGAAACCUCCUAGAGGACAGUGAGGACCAUGAAGCAAGGGGCUGCAUCUUAUUCUCCUUGGUGUCUGUCUGGCCCAGCAGUGGGCCCAGGCCAGAUGCCAUUAAGAACAUUCAUGAUUCAUGAGAGGAGAUCAAAAUAUCAGCAUAAACAAGAGUUUGAAAGAAGUUGAUUUCAACCUUUGUGGAUGACUAUGAGAGAUUCAAGGCUUCAGUGGAGAAUGCACCUACAGAUAUGGUGGAAACAGCAAAAGAACUAGAAUCAGAAGUGGAGCCUGAAGAUUAAACUGAAUUGCUGCAAUCUCAUGAUAAAACUUGAACAGAUGAGAAGUUGCUUCUUACAGGGUUAGGAACUGUCAGAGUGUGGCUCAACUGAGAAACAACUUUCUGAGUAGAGGUGGGGAAAGAUGGGCUGAGAGGCUUCUGAGGUCGUGUGUUCACCAUCACUGAGGCAUUGUGAUGUGUUAGGUGGGUCUGAACCCUCUGGCUUCAGAGAGAGUGCCUAUGGGGCACCAGGUAAUCUGAGACUGCAGCUCAGAGAUUACUCCAGCAAACGGUCAGGUAUCCACACUGCCUAUGCUACCUGUCUGUUGGUCACUCACUCAUUGUUCAGAUGAUAAGAUCGACAGAUCACAAGAAGGACUGUGGCUUGAAGUUCCAGAGCAGAGAUGUACAUUACUGUCUACCGCUGAAGUGAACUGCUGCCCCUCUGGAGUCUGGAUAUCAUCAGAAUGAAAAAGCGAGUGUCAUGGGCAAGGUGAGGAGUCCAGCAGGAUGGUCGCUGUGUGGUUUCUCAGCUGGAGCGCAGCAGGAGCAAGCGUGGAAAUAUCCUUGUUUUCUCUUCUCCCCUCCCCUCCCCAAGUGCAAAUGGAACCUAUGAAAUAUGGCUUGAUUUUGAGGCUUCUAAUUCUUCAUUGCACUCCCAGACCCUUCUUUUAUCUCUGGUGGCAGCCCUGAGAAUAAAUCUCUUGGUCACACUCUUCAAUCAGGUUCUCCCAGACAAAAGGUUAGGCUGCAAGGAUGAUAGGAACCAGACUUCAAAUGGGUUUCCAGGAGCUGAGGGAAGGAAAGGCUUUUCCUACAGUUUCUCCAGCCAAGGGAUUAAGAAAAGGAUGGGGUCAUAGGGCAACAGCAGUAGAAGGUGGCAUUCCAAGACUUUCUCCAGGACUCCACCUAAGGUCAGUUUUUCGUCACUCAUACCUGUUUGUCUUUUGACUGGCCACCAUCAAUGUAGAGUUAAGAACCAGGAGGCAAGAACAUGCUCCCCAAGUCACAGUCUGCCUCCCACAUACUGCAGUUUGAUUACAGCAUCCUGCCUUUCCACAGGAGGAAAGUGGUGUUGUUCUCCAGAACCAGGUGUGAAUUGUGAUCAGACCUAGAAUGGGCUAUGUAAAAAGCUUAAGAGAGAGAUUCCAUGUCCUGCAACAGUGCCCACAAUUCAAAUCUGUAUUCAAAAAAAAACUAAAAGCAGAGAAAAUCCACAGCAGACCUACCACUCUCCAGGCAGAUAGUGCCCUCUCCACACUCUGCAGCCAUCACCUGCCUCUGCUGGACGCUGCCCAGAGAGAGACCUGCUGCUGCAGAGCAGCUCUGUGUCAGCCACUGCGGCCUUAGAGAGAGCUGCAGGAAACGGGACUUCCCACAUGCUCUCCACGGUGGAACCACAGGUCAGCAGCUGAAUGCAGCCUCUACCCUCUGGAUGCCUUUCUUGUCACUCACUUAGUAUUCUUUUUUUUCUCAUUCUAGUACUUUAUCUGCUGGAAACUUUCAAAUGUAUUACUAAUGUCCUUCCAGACUCCACAUGGGAAUUUUCGUGACAUCUUGGCUAUAUUUACACAAAGAUUAGCUUGUAGGAAACACAAAAUAAGUAUGCAUAAAUAAAUGAGUGGCUCAGCACACC
rnacentral:antisense_RNA from 1 species